rnacentral:rRNA from 1 species
AGCGAACGCUGGCGGCAGGCCUAACACAUGCAAGUCGAACGAACCCUUCGGGGUUAGUGGCGGACGGGUGAGUAACACGUGGGAACGUACCUUUAGGUUCGGAACAACACAGGGAAACUUGUGCUAAUGCCGAAUGUGCCCUUCGGGGAAAGAUUAUCGCCUUUAGAGCGGCCCGCGUCUGAUUAGCUUGUUGGUGAGGUAAAGGCUCACCAAGGCUUCGAUCAGUAGCUGGUCUGAGAGGAUGAUCAGCCACACUGGGACUGAGACACGGCCCAGACUCCUACGGAGGCAGCAGUGGGGAAUCUUGCGCAAUGGGCGAAAGCCUGACGCAGCCAUGCCGCGUGAAUGAUGAAGGUCUUAGGAUUGUAAAUUCUUUCACCGGGGAAGAUAAUGACGGUACCGGAGAAGAAGCCCGGCUAACUUCGUGCCAGCAG